rnacentral:rRNA from 1 species
AUUGAACGCUGGCGGCAGGCCUAACACAUGCAAGUCGAACGGUAACAGGAAGAAGCUUGCUUCUUUGCUGACGAGUGGCGGACGUGUGUGUAAUGUCUGGGAAACUGCCUGAUGGAGGGGGAUAACUACUGGAAACGGUAGCUAAUACCGCAUAUCUUCUCAAGACCAAAGAGGGGUACCUUCAGGCCUCUUGCCAUCCGAUGUUCCCAGAUGGGAUUAGCUAGUAGGUAGGGUAACGGCUCACCUAGGCGACGAUCCCUAGCUGGUCUGAGAGGAUGACCAGCCACACUGGAACUGAGACACGGUCCAGACUCCUACGGGAGGCAGCAGUGGGGAAUAUUGCACAAUGGGCGCAAGCCUGAUGCAGCCAUGCCGCGUGUAUGAAGAAGGCCUUCGGGUUGUAAAGUACUUUCAGCGGGGAGGAAGGGAGUAAAGUUAAUACCUUUGCUCAUUGACGUUACCCGAAGAAGAAGCACCGGCUAACUCCGUG